AUUGAACGCUGGCGGCAUGCCUAACACAUGCAAGUCGAACGGCAGAACGGAUGCUUGCCCUUGGUUGAGCGUGGCGCAGGGGUGUGAAAUCCAUCGGACUAUGUCGUGUAGUGGGGGAUCGCCCGGAGACAGCCGGUUAAAUACCGUAUACGAUGCGCGGAAGAAAGCGGGGGCCUCUCAGGUCUCGCGAUAUAGGGUUGGUCGAGGUCUGAUUAGCUAGUUGGUGGGGUAAAGGCCUACCAAGGCGACGAUCAGUAUCUGGUCUGAGAGGAUGAUCAGUCACACUGGGACUGAGACACGGUCCAGACUCCUACGGGAGGCAGCAGUGGGGAAUUUUGGACAAUGGGCGAAAGCCUGAUCCAGCAAUGCCGCGUGUGUGAAGAAGGCCUUCGGAUUGUAAAGCACUUUUGGCUGGAAAGAAAGCCAUGACGCUAAUACAGUCGGGGUAUGACGUUACCGGAAGAAUAAGCACCGGCUAACUACGUG
rnacentral:rRNA from 1 species